rnacentral:rRNA from 1 species
GUGGGGAAUCUUCCGCAAUGGACGAAAGUCUGACGGAGCGACGCCGCGUGAGUGAAGAAGGCCUUCGGGUCGUAAAGCUCUGUCAUCAGGGACGAAUGGCCGGUGGAGUGGAAAGCCACCGGAUUGACGGUACCUGAGAAGGAAGCCACGGCUAACUACGUGCCAGCAGCCGCGGUAAUACGUAGGUGGCAAGCGUUGUCCGGAAUUAUUGGGCGUAAAGCGCGCGCAGGUGGGAUCUUAAGUCCAUUUUGAAAGUUCGGAGCUCAACUCCGUGAUGGGAUGGAAACUGGGAUUCUUGAGUACCGGAGAGGAAAGCGGAAUUCCCCGUGUAGCGGUGAAAUGCGUAGAUAUGGGGAGGAACACCAGUGGCGAAGGCGGCUUUCUGGACGGUGUCUGACACUGAGGCGCGAAAGCCAGGGGAGCGAACGGGAUUAGAAACCCUUGUAGUCC